GGUCUUUUUUGUGGUCAUUGGUCAAGAGAUCGAAUGGCUCAGAUGGUUAGCUUAUGCCUCCGCUUUCGCAUACGUGAGGUAUUGUCCGCUUUGACUCAUGACCAUCUUUAGACUUUAGUGGGCUUUUAGGCUUCAAUAGGCCUUGAUCAUUUAGAGCCUCACGGUUUUGUCCUUUAAAAGAGGCUUCACGUUGGGAGAGAAGGUUCC
rnacentral:lncRNA from 1 species